GCCCAGGGAGGGGUAGGGCUCUGGCGGGGGGUGUCGCGGCGCUGCCCUUGGCGCCCCGGCUCCCGCCGCCUCACCUCGCUCGAUGUUGGCGAUGGCCCGCCGCAGGUGCUCCUCUGUCACCAGCUCACCGAUGACCACCAGCAGAUACCCUCAAGACUUGCCACCUGGUGUCCACUGGAGAAAACCAGCAUCAGGCUUCUCCUGCUGCAAUCCCUAGCUCUGGGAUACGCUUUUAUUUCAAUCACCAACAAGAGCAGCUAGUCUCUGGAGCAUGGAAGAGGUUUACCAAGGGGACUUGCCAACUGGUUGCAGAAUAGACUGAUAAUGGUUCCUGGACAUGAAGGUAAAACAAUUACUGGCCUCACAAGCAGAGCAGGUUAAAUAUGAUACUCUGAGAAAUGCACACCAGUGGCAUUAUAUGCACUCAGAAGGCAUUAUAUGUGCUUUUAAGCACUUUCUGAUUUUAAGGAAAAAUUAAGACAUCCAUAACUGGAAAGGUACCUGUGAGUUUGCAAAGUAAGAGAUGAAGAGAAUGUAUUUUAUCAGAGAAGAAAAUGCUUACAUAGAGAUAGGGAAUACAGUUAUGUUUGAAAUAGCCUGUUCAGGUAGUCUUCUAGUUUAUACAGCACUGUAAAAUAGUAUGAAGCUAGAACAUGAUAUAUAAAAAAAAGUGAACUGUUACAGUCAAACUGUCUUGUGAUGGAAGAUAUGUCACACAUUAAAACCCUAAAGACAAGAGGUUACCUUCAGAAGAAAAUGGUCUUUUGCUAAACUCUUCGACAGAUGAAGACCUUUGCCCUUACCUAUUCAAAAGCAUAUGCCACAUCAUCUGAGAUGGAAGAUAAGACAAGAAAAGGUGCUUUAACCUCUUGAACACGUCUCUGAGGAAGCUCUGCAGGAUCCCAACUCCAUGGCCAGGAUUCACACUGUGAUUUGUCCUUUUGGUAUCUCAUUCAGGUAGAUUUGUUUGUCAUCACCUCUCCCUAUCUGGAUACCCAUUUAUAUUCUGCAAUAUGGAGCAUAUAAUCAGGUCUACUGCUGAGUGAAAUGUGAAGACGUGCUGCAUAAAGCUGACUUAGUGUCCAGUGACCCUCACUGCUGGAAAGUGAUACCAGCUGACUAGCUACAGCUCAAUCACAUAGAUAUGCCCCUUCAGUGGAAGAAAGAACAAAAUCGUUGGACUGUGGAAUAUGUCUUGCUGUUUCAAAGAGACAGUGAUUGAGACCUGCACCUGUCUGGCUUUUUUAUGUUUUGGUUUGGUUUUACUGUUUUAGUGUGUUCAAAUUGGAGUCCCCAAGUUGAAUAUGGUCAAACAUUACAUGUAGAGCUGUAUUUUUUAGAUCUAGUAUUUUUUGAAGCAAAUAGGCACUUUUAAAUAAAGUGCUUGAAGUCUAAAACAUGACUCUGAUGGUAUGUGCCAUUUGUUACCCACUAAUACUCAGGUUUCAUUCAAGUCCUGUCUUCAAGUUCAAAUGAGGUUUCAGUGAUGUACAAACCCUUAGGUUGACCCUUUGUCUGAGGCCAAAUGUCACUCCUACAUAAAAAAAUUACAUAUUCAUGGGGAUUACUUCAGACCAAUUGACAUCCAGACUGGGGAAUGAGAGGCUGGAGAGUAGCGCUGCAGAAAGGGAUCGGAGGUUGAAUCUGAGUCAGCAGUGCCCUGGCAGCCAGGAGGGCCAACCGUGUCCAGGAGGGCAUCAGGCACAGCAUCCUCAGUUGGUUGAGGGAAGUGAUUGUCCCACUCUGCUCUGCUCUGGGGCAGCCUCACCUUGAAUAUUUUGUGCAGUUUUGGGCACCACAAUAUAAGAAAGAUGUUGAGCUAUUAGAGAGUGUCCAAAGGAGGGCAACGAAGAUGGUGAAGGGCCUUGAGGGGAAGCCAUAUGUGGAGCAUCUGAGGUAAUUUGGUUUAUUCAUUCUGGAGAAGAGGAGUUUGAGCAAAGACCUCAUCACAGUCUACAGCUUUCUCACAAGCAGAACUGGAGGGGCACACACUCAUGACUCUGUCCUCUGUGGUGACCACUGACAGCACCAGAGGGAAUGGCAUGAAGCUGUUUCAAGGGAGAUUUGGAUUGGAUAUUGGGAAAAGGUUCCUCACCUGAGAGUGGUUGGGUGCUGGAACAGGCUCCCCAGGGAAGUGGUCACAGCACCAAGCCUGUCUGAGUUCAAGAAGCAUUUGGAUAAUACUUUCAGGCACAUAGUGGGACUCUUGGGUCAUGAUGGGUCCUGUGCAGGGUCAGGAGUUGGACUUGGUGAUCCUUGCAGGUCCCUUCCAACUCAGAAUAUUCUAUGAUUCUUUGAAUUUGAAUUUAAGAACUUCACUGAAAGUAAAGGCUAUCUUCACUGAGAGAAAUGCCAAUCUGAGGACUGCACAAUGUGUCAUGAAACACGUUCCUAAAGUUGGUAGGAUUUCAUAAGGAUAAGGAGGAAGCUCUAAUUUCUAGAGAUGAAGCUUUGCCAGUCUACACUAGAGGUGACAGAAUCACAGAAUAGCUGGCAUCAGAAGGGAUCUCUGGAGAUCAUCUUGUCUAAUCCUGCUCAAGCAGGGCCACUUACAGUAUGUUUCUGAGAGCUGUGUAGGGUCUGAGUAUCUCCAUGGAUGGAGACUCCCAUCACCUCUCUGGGUAAUCUAUGCUACUGCUCCAUCACUAUCAGUGUGAAAGUGUUUCCUGAUGCCUGAGUCAAGAAUAUGACACCACUAUUAUAGCGGAUAAUACCUAUAACAUUUCAUACCUUACCUGAUGCCUUCCCAAUGCGACCAUCACUCCCAAUACUCCCACUCCCCCAUGUGUGACCCCACACUCCUCAUUUCCUGCAGUCAGCAGCUCUACUCUCCCCACAUGGCCUGGCCUUUACCUCCCAGAGUCUCCUCCCUGUGAUGCUCCUUCAGGGCAACUCAGCAGAGCAGCACAGGUGCAGAGGUACAGUCAGCACGUCACCCUGAUCCCAGCAGAGGAGUGUCACUCUUCAGCCACUGGCCACAAUGUGAUAGUCAUGCACUCUUCAUGUCCCUGCAAACACCUAGGUAUGGGGUUCACAAAGACAACUCUCGCCUUGUGCCAUUUUCUUAGGCAGGGAAGCAUCCUCAUCUCUUAAUAUCCUCAAGCUGGCACUACCAGAGGAGCUUCUCCUGCAGCAGUGAUGUGGUGAAAGCCAGGAUCACCAGAGAGAGCUGGAUCACCUGGAUGAACAGCCAGAGAUUUGGGCUGCAUGAGAGACUAAGUCUCUAUGAAAGACUCUUUAAGAGUGGAAAUACUUUAUGUUUUAAGAUGGCAGGCUUUAUUUUGACCUACAUACAAAAUAAAAAUUACUCAGCAUUCAUUUCAAGUAUUUUAAAUUAUAUUACUUCAAUUUUAAUGAUUACUUUUUAAAUUGCAAAGGAGAGAAAAUUUUUGUCUGUUCAUGGUGAAAUACCCAUUUCAAUUGGUGUUUCAUUUGUUUCCUACUCUCCCCACUUUCCCCAUAGUAAAAGGGAAGUCAAAUAUUAAAAAAAAAAAAGUGAAGAAAGCAACACUAGUGCUUUUAAAAAUAACAUUUUCUCUCACUUUCAGCUUUCUGUCUUGAAGUGAGAGAAAAAUAACACCAACUAACAUUUUACUUUAGUUGCCAGUGGAAAAAGUUAAUUAUUUUUUAUCAGAGUAAUUUCCAUCUGGUUAGUGGAAAAAGAAGUUAGAAGCAAAAAGAGGAAAGAAUACUUUUUUUAACUGCAAUGAAAAUUAAUUGAAAAAAUUUACUCUUGACUAUUAAAAAGAAACAAAUUAGAAAAUAAUGCUUUUGCAUAAUUUUAUCCUGAAAUUUGCUAUGAAAGAACACAUGGCUUUACAUGAAAAAAAAAAAUUAUUGCUCGUCCACUGUUAAAGGGAAAAUAGAGAGGUUUUAAAUAAUUAGAUCAUGUUUACUAAUUGGGAUGACACUUAAAAUUCAGCAAUAGAUUAUAAUAAAAACAUUGAAAGCAAUGAUACCCAUUGUACCACAAAACUGGAUGGAUAAAUAAAACAUUAUCAGGUAAAAAAAAACAGUGACAAGACAAAAUAAUUGCCAUCAGGCUGUAGUUUUGAGCUUCCUUUCAGCCCAGGGUUCAGUUUUGAACCCUUCUGAACAAGAGAGAAAGUGGUCUGUUGAUGUGGGGUAUAGUCUGGGUUUCAGGAGGUGGGUUUGGCAGGUUUUUAAUUCUUACUGAAGAACUGCAAGUUACAGAAUUAGCUUCUGAGGGUAAAAUACAAUUUAUGUCCUGUCACAUGAAACUGAGUAGCCCUGCAGUCCAGAGUCCCAACAUAUGCUUCCUUUCAAGCCAGUUUUAGAGCUCAGUCUUGACUUAAGACAGGAUAAAACAAGCUGUGGAUUUUGAAUGACUACAUGUGCACUAUCAUCUCCUUAAUUUUGGAGGCAGCUGGAAGCUGAGAGUUCCUGCACCGUGUUGUUGGCUGCCAUGACACCCAUGUUCAGCCUGGUUGCCUAAAGUCUGCCUGCCCUGGCAGCACACCCUGUCCAUGGCACUGCUGGAGGACCAUCAGUGACCUUGUGUGUCAGGUGUUAGCCUUGUAACUCACUGCAGGCCCGUACUGAUGGGCUAUCAGCCUCACAUUGCUCCAUCCUCCAUCCUAGCUACUCAGGUGGCAAAAGCACAUUGAGGUACUCUAAAGCAAAGCGCAGUUUUGGUUUGGUUUUCUUCUGUUGUUUUCUCUCCAAGCUGAAUUGUAUAAAUCUGCCUCUGGAAACCCAACAGCAAGUAGAUAUUUUACAAGAUAUUCUCAUCUAGUCUUAGGACAUGCCUUAAAAUACUUUGCUGAGGUUUCCUGCUAGCUCUGCUAGUUCUGUAGGAUUUAAAAUUGCUUAUUAUUAUUUUUCAAGGGUCCAUUUUCCUGUUCUCUUGAGCACACUACAGUAGAAAUAGCAUUUUGCUACUGCAUAGAGAGUAGGAAGCAAGAAAUCCAGGUAAGCGUAAUUCAUACAGUGCAAUGACAGGCUACUGAACACAGAAUGUGGGGAACUGCACAAUCUUCCUACUGCAAAGGUCCAACAGAACCUGGUCCUGCACUAGGAACACCACAACUCUUCAAGGCUAUAGCAAUUUCACAUAUUUCAGAGCUGCAACCAGGGUAGUACAUUAUUUUGCACCCUUGCCCAGGAUUUUUUGUGCAUGCAGCUAUAUUUUUGCAAGAUCUUGAUGGGGUCUUUCAUUCUAUUCUCUUACUAUGUAGAAAAUUACAGUGAGUUCUAUUCCUGGGGGAAUAGUUUGUGACUGAUAUUGCCUAAACAGGAUUUAGCCAUUCUACUGAUGUAGUCUUUAGUCUUACUGCUACAGUCAUCCAGUCCUUUAACUGUUUCAGCUGCCAGAAAAUCUCAUACUUUUUGCACAGAUCUUGAUACUCAAACAGCAUAAACAGUAAGAAUGAUUACCUUCAUUUUAUGUGUUUCAAAACAAAUUCCAGAGUUGUUAAUUCAGACCACCUACAAGACUGACUGUCUGGUUCCUUUCCCCUUUUGUGUACUUUAUUAUUACUAGCAACAUUACUAUUGGUACAAUUUUGCAGCAUCAUUUUGGUCUUUUUUUGUUUCCCUAUGUUUUCUGUCUACUAUUUAUUUGUCUGUUCCAUGCACUCUAAUAGGCUGACACAAAGUAAAGACAAUUUAAGGAUGUUUUUACUCCCAUCUUUUAUUUCUUUCUGCUUUAUAUACUCUUUAAUUUAGUAAGUCAUUCGUAGUCAAUGGUAUUUUGCAGUUGGUUGGGAUGUGCUGUCUCAGACUUGCAUUGCAGAAUGUAGUGAAUGACCCGAGUGGAGAGAGCGCAGCAGGGGUGCACAAAGAGGUCAGUAAGCUGAGCAUUUUGCUAAAGGGCCACAGUUUUGGGAGUGGGCAGAGAUGGCCUCCACUGUGCAUUGUGAUAUAUAGGGGGUCACCGUCAGUGUUUACCUUGUACCUGUAGCAGUGCCUUCUAGUCCUGCCAUGGCAGUACCCCAGACUCCUUGUGGGGCUGGAACCAUGCCAUGGGACUAACAAUAGUCUGCCAUGAUUUCCUUCUAAGAAUUGCUCUGAUUUUUUUGUCCCGUAUCCUGCUUGUCAGAAGUUGCAUUAUAACCUCUUUGGUUCUAAUACUAGAAUGAUGUUAUCAUAUUUCUGAAAUACAAAGAAAUUUUGUUCUUUUUCAUUACUUGCAAAGGCAAUAGAGCAACAAUGGUAGAGCCAUUGCUGAAAGUAUAAUUUCCGAUGCAAAAAUAUAGAUCAAGCACAUUGUAAAAUGCAGGAAAGGAGCAUUUUUUUUAAUGUUCUUUUCCAAAUAUUCAUGAUAUGAUUUUUGGGGUUGUCCUGUGCAGGGCCAGGAGGUAGAUUCAAUGAUUCUUUUGAGAUCCUUUGAAGUCAGGAUAUUCUAUGCUUCUAUGAAAUAUUCCAUUCAGCUUUACCCAAGAUAGCUUGAACUUCUCUGAUUGUUGUUUUUUUUUUUUCCCAAUUUCUCUUUAUGCUUGUUCCAAACACUUUUUGAAUUCCAAAUUUAAUAGGGUAUGGUUUAGUCUUUGAAACUAAAGGAAGGCAUGAUUUGUAUUAGGCUGAUCUGAUAUAUUUAGCUGCAGUCGCCCUGAAUAUAUAUUUUUGAGAUAGCAGUCAUUGUCAUUCUGUGGAACAAUAGUAUGUAUCUGUGUAUAUCAUGUAAAUGAUACAGGCAAUCCCUCUUUCUCCUCCCAGUAAUUCUACAACUCCUAUUUUUUGCAUACAGUAAUAUUUUUUCAAUACCAAAAUGCUACUAUUUCUGAGAUAGUGCAGUUGCACUCAGUUUUGUGAAAAGGCAUGAAUGAGUAUAUCCUUUUGAAGCAAAGUCAUGGAAAUAUAUUGCAUAGGUGGAAUGUAAUUUCCAUUUUUGGGUAUUACAAAGGUGUUGGAUUUUAGCAAAACAUCGAUCAAGCUUUUUUUUGAUGUUUCUCUGAGAAAAUCCCAGUUCAACAAAUCUUAAUGUAUCAACUUUGUAAUAGGAAAUGGGUUUCCUAAGAAAUCGAGGGAACAGUGUUACUUAUCUGGACUUCCUUCCCACAAGCUGUGCAUGUUUUCUUCAGAGGGUUUGCAUUGAGUAGGUUCAGUCAAAGUAAAUUUCGUCAUCAUUAAGAGAAAACACUCAGAAUUCCUUAUGACCCAUCAGUCAUAAAAAUAUUUAUUGCUAUUUUCCUGCAUUUACACAUUGUAUUAACAGUAAUAAAGUCAUUAUAGAUGAUUCAUUCAAUGAAAAGAUUUUCUUACCUCCAGAGGAGUCUCUGACUGCCUUUUCAUUUUUUGGACAUCUCAAGGCUGUAGGAGCAGUCUUCUAGCUUGGCCACAGCAUUUUUCUUGUAUGCAAUUAGUGUUUCAAUCUCAUUUGAUAGUAAUGAAUUCAGUAGGGAGUAUAAGCAGCUGUCCAUGGCCCCUUUUACAGAAAACUAAAUUAGGACUGUGGUAGAAGGACCAGUGAAACUGUAUCUAGAAGAAAACAGCAAAAAACACCUUAUGGCGUAAAGUACUGAGAAAAGGAAUAAAUAGAAGAAGAAAAGAUUUGAGAGACUGUGCCAGUUUGGGCAGGGAUAGAGUUAAUUUUCUUUACAGUAACUAGGAUGGGGCUGUGUUUGUAUUUGUGUUGAAAAUGGUGUUGAUAAUACAGGGAUGUUUUCCUUGUUGAUGAACAGUGCUUAUUGCCUAGGCCUUUUCUGCUUUUCUCACCAUCCCACUGGCAAGGCGGCUGGGGAUGCACAAGGAGCUGAGAGGUGACACAGCUGGGAUAGCUGACCCCAACUGACCACAGGGAUAUCCCAGACCAUAUGGCAUCAUGCUCAGCAUAUAAAGCUGGGGGAAGAGGAAGGAACAGGGGGCUGUUCAGAAUGGUGGUAUUUGUCUUCCUGAAUCAUUGUUAUGCAUGAUGGAACCCUGUUUUCCUGGAGGCAGCCUGCCAUGGGAAGCAUUGAAUUAAGUCCUUGUUUUGCUUUGAUUGUUCAUGAGGUUUUUGCUUUACCUAUUAAAUUGUCUUUCUCUCAAUGCAUGAGUCUUCUCACCUCUACCCUUCUGAUUUUCUCCUCCCUCCUGCUUGUGGGAGAGUGAGUGAGCAGGUGUGUGAGGCUUAGUUCCUGGCUGGGGUGAAACCACGACAGAGAUCAAGUGCAAGGGACAUUGCUUAAGUUACAACAAAAUGGACAAGGAGUUAUUUUCUCCCUCAGAAGUAUUCUCGGAAGUCUAGGUUUUGGUUUUAUGCUCCAAGGAUUGUCAGGGUUGAUGACAAGGUUUUUUCGCCUUUUCGGAAAGUACAGUUAGGUGGCUAGUACAGUGGUCUGACUCCAAAGGGAAUUGCUGGCUGACAAAGCCCAUGUUCUGCUAGCAUCCAGCGCAGAAAAGGGAACACCAAGGACUAUGAAAUAUUUUUAAGAAAAAAAGUUUCUGAAUAAGGACAACAUGAAAUCAAGACAGAGUCGUGUUUCAGAGUCUGAAAAAGAUGCCCCAGAUACUGUGCAACUUCCUGUUAAAACACAUACUGGUACCUGCUUUCAGACUGUUGGCACUGGAGGGAAAGUAGAGUAAGAGCAAAGAGGGGCUGUGGUAUUGUCAAUUAAAAUGGGAUAAUAGUUGCAUAAAUAAAGGAUGAGCAGAUAUAGGGAGAGAUUUGGACAGAUACAGUAGGAAUUGAAAGAAACAUUAAACAUGAUCACUUCUCUUCCCACGCAUUCUCCUUGGAAGUAUCAACAUGAGAAUUCAUCACUUGGGGAAGAAGAGGGAGAGGGUUGGUUCCAGCACAAUUCCUCUUCAGCUUUAACCUUGCAAACCUCAAGGCAUUGCACAAAGGAUAAGUCAAGAUAUGCACAGACCAAAAGAGUCUCUUCAUCCUCUCAGACAAGCAGAAUGUUUUCUUGCAGCAAUGGUUGUCUACAUUCCCUAUGGAGCAGAGCCCUGGCCAUGCAGUCAGCACUUCUGGCAUCUCCUGACUCUAAGGAUACCUCCAACAGUUCUCAUUUUCUCCUCUGGGCACUUAAGAAGGGUGAACAGUACUGAUUACACUCACCAACUGCCUCCAAGAUUUUAAGACUGAGAAAACAACUCAUUAUUUUAAUAAAAUUUCAGCCUUGCUGAAUGCAUGGGCCAUGCCAUGAAGCUGCAGAUUACUACAGUGAGAAUUUCAACCUAUUGACAACAGGUUUUCCAGGUUGCCUCCUACAGCUGCUCAGAGGGCACCUGAAGAUUCUCAUGCAUCUACAGAGGACACUGAAGCCCUUGCUGUAACCUACAAAAUGUUUGUCCAAAGCAAGGGCCCAGCAUCAUGUCACAGGAUUGCUGUACAGCUUGCUGCUCCUCAGCUUCUUUUCAAGCAGUGCCAGCAUGCUCUGGCUCCAAGUCCAAAAGCUAAUAGCAUGCUCUUAUGAGUAAGCAUUUUCUGGACUGAGUGCACUGUGAUCUCCCUGAACUGAACAUCUUUGGGAGAAAUUUCCCAGGAUUGCUUGCAGACCCCUUCCUCCCUCUAUCUCUGUAUUGUGCCACUGGUGGCUUGGCCUGUCCGUCCACUAUUGCACCAGCAGGAAGAGUAGAAGCAAGCGCUAACGAGGGGCAUCUAACAUAUCUCCAAACUGAUGUUGGCUUGCUGACAAGGGUAGUAACCACUAACAUUUUCAUUCCAUGAAAAUUGUUUUCUAGUGUCUUCUACAUAAAUUUCCAUUUAAAAGCUUCUCUUAGGGUUUUUGUUCUGUUUCCCUGAGUUGGUUUGUUUUGUUUUGGUGGGGGAGGGGGUUGUAUGUGUUUGGGGUUUUUUUCUUUGUUUUGUUACUUUUUGGAUUUUUUUCCUGAUCAUGAGCAGGAAAACAUACUCGAGAAUCUAAUAAACACUGAAAGCCAAGCUGGGUUAUUUUGAGUUGAUGCAUUUACAGUGAUAUUUUGCACUGAGAAUUUAAUUAACAGUUCUUUUGAUGAUAAAUAAAUCAGAAUAAAAUCCAUCUCAUCUUCCAAGAGCUGAAUUUGUUCUCGACUGCUAAUGGCAGUAAAAAUUAAUAAAGUAUUAUUUUAGUGUGCAGGAUAUGCUUAGAUAAUUCUGAAAGUAUAAGAGGAGACCACCAGCCAAAGGAAACCAUGUAUUUUACAUUUGUCACAUAGAUGUCUUUAUAUUAAAUUAUGUAGUUGACCUUCCUUGUUCUUCUGUUUUCUCAUUUAUAAACCACAGAUUUGCUUGGCCUCGGAAAGCUGUUUGAAACACACAGAAGAAAAGGUAGAUAUAAGUUCUCAGAGAACAGCAAAGUAAGAACUAUUCCUUCUCUGGAUUUUUGUAUUUCCUUCCGCUCAAUUUCCUACAUCCAUUUUGCUUUUAAGAAAUUUUCUGCUAAUGUGACUCAGUUGUUUGGGGGUUUUUACCUCAAGCAUUUAUGCUCUUGAUGUCAUUGAUUCAAAAACAGGGAGAUGUCUAUAUGCAAGAGAGUGAAGGUGAGUUUACAUAACAUGAGAGUAUGAUCAUUCUCUUUUUGCAGUCUCCUAGCCUGAGGGGCCCUCUCAUCUACUCUAGGGGCACAUUUUAAGCAUGCUGUGAUAAUAUUAACAAAAGAAGUUUAUCAUAUCAAGAGUUUAUUAUUCUCACAGAGUUUAAGAUCCAGGCAUGCUGAAGAGAAGUCUACAGUAAAUUGAUUUUUUUGCUGUGUUGGAGUAAUAGUAUAUCCAGUACAAUAUAGUAGCAUUGCUCUCUUUUUACUUGUGAUACAAUGCCUCUGGCUAAGUAUAAACUCAUUAAGCAGUACGCCCAGUUUACUGAAAUUCUGGAAGCUGAUAACAAUAAUUAAAAUACUACAUGACAAGUAGUAUUUUAUUAUGCAAUCCCAGAAUGCCUUGGUGACUUGUUAGGCACAUGGCCAGCUGCUUUGAACCACCUGGAAAAAUUAUUUUUAUACAUAUUGUGGGUGGUAGGGAAUGAUCUGAUCUGCUUGCGUAUCUGCAUUUAUCACACUCUAAUUGUGCUGGUAAGAUUUCAUCUGCUGAGUAGAUAGACUGAUAUUGGCUGAAGUGAUAAUGAUCAGGGGUGAAUGGUGCUUUUGGUUUGAUGACUGAUGGGGCUAAACAUAUGGCCCAAGGCAUAACAACAGGCCCUUAGUCACCAGGCAGAGACCCAAACGCAGCGGUGGAUGUUAUUAUAAGCUGAGACUGACUGCAGGCGUUUCAGGUUUGCAGCAAGGGCAAGAAGAAGCAGCAUCCUUGAGUAAGCAUAGGGUAUGCCUGAGCUACAUGUUGUAAAUAUGUACUUAACAUUUCACAGCUGUAAAUAUAUGUAAAUUUGUCUGAGUAGCUUCAAGUCUUUUUCUCUUUUUUUUCUCUCUCUUUUUUUUUUUUUUUUUUUAAUGCUUAAAAUUUUUGCAGUCAAAUUAUUUAACCUGUCUUAAAAGGUUACAUUUCAAGAAAAUGAGAUAUCCUCAGUCUGGACACCUAGUCCUCUGGCAUCCAGUUUAAUCAAUUAUUACCUUGAUUUUCAGAUUUGUUUUUGUAUCAUUCCAAACCUUUGCUCACACUGUGUCUAACCUGGGGCAUAAUGAAGUCACAGUAAAAAUUUCAGUUAUUUUUGUGGGAUGAAAAUUAUUAUGUAGUAGUUUUACAGCUUCAGGAUACUAUUAGGUUAAAAUUUGUAGCAUUUUUCUCAUCCAGACCACAAUAACUACAUCCCUUGUUUUCACUGCAACCUUAAGAAAAUGACAGUCUGUCCUUGGAUAUUACUACUUAACAUUGCAUACAUGUGCAUAUCAGGAUUUCCCAACAAUAACCGUUACAAGUUAAGUUUGAAAACUGCACCAUGAGUAUUCGGAACAGUCAAGUUCUCUAAGAAAGACACCAACCUUGGGUUUCUUGGUGAGGAAGGAAAUUUCUGUCUCCUACCUGUAUUGUCAGCAGGGAAUGAGAUGGUGUUCAGAGCAGAAGCCUAACUGGGGUGCUGUGAGAAGCGUUCCGUGGGAGCAUCCCUUCUCCUCCACUUGUUGCAGUGGAGACUGAGGUUGCUGAACCAUUCAGGACACUAGAUUAGAUGCUUAAAAAAAAAAAAAUUAAAAAUAAAAAUGACUUAAGCUUAAAAAUUUGUAUUGUACCUGGAAAGUAACUGCGUUAUUAGUUCUGCAUGAAGGCUAAAGUAGUUUUUGUUGCUCAGCUAAUGACAUCUCAUUGUUUCUUAGAAGAUACAGAAUAUCCAUCAUUCAUGUGUAUCAUGAUUUAGGAAUGGUACUCCCCAAUUUAGUGCUUCCACUGGUACUCUCCAAACCAUGCCGCUGCCUACUUGCUUCUCCAUCCCUUGUGGUGGGCUAGAGAGGAGAAUUGGAGGCACAACAGGUAAAGACCACGGGUUGAGAUAAGAACAAUUUACUGGAAAGAGUAAUGAGAUAAGAAAAAGAACAGUGACAGCAACAAGAUAAGAAAAUGAACAGUAACAGCAACAAUAUUAAUAACAGAAGUGUAUAAAAGAGAGUGGCUCUCAUGGAAAAUCCUCACCUCAGAGCCUGACCUGACUGCUACCACGAUACCCCAACUGCUCCCUCUGGCUCAGAACUGCCAUUAACACUACUGCUCCUUCUGGUUUGGAACCGGCUUGGUUACCCCACCACUCCCUCUUCCAAAACAAAGGAACCCCUUCUUCCUGGAAGAGACUCCCUUCCCCUGCCCUUGGCAAUGAUGUGAGGUGGUAUAGAAUAACCUCGGGGUCCUGGCCAUGACCCCUCCUGGCAACUGCGAAAAUUAACUCUGUCCUGGCUGAAAUCAGGACACUGUGUAAAGGAAACCCAGCUGAAGAGAAUGAAUACUUUGUCACUUGUCCAGUCAUUUUAUUGCUGAGUUUCUCCUAAACUUAACUGUCCAAAAAGGUGUUUGAAGAAAAAUUGAUUUUCUACACUUAUUCACUCAAGGGCCUUUAAGCAGUUUUGCCUUGAGUGUUGCCUCUGGAACAUCAGUUUGUACUACUUUUUCAACAUUCCAGAAUGCAAAUUCUGAAAAUACAUUAACACAAAAUUCUAUGCACCAGUUAAAAAUGAGGGUUGUUUUCUUUAAAAAUAUUUCUAACUAAAAUUGGAAUUGAAAUGUUUUAUAAAUUAAAGGUACUUAUGCAAAUAGCUUCAGCUCAGCUUCUCCCUUUGAUAAUGUUACCCCUUUCAGAAAACCCAUCUUGCUCUUUUCCCAUUUUUAUGCUAAGUGCUAAAUGAGAGCAAUGAUUACUCUUACCCAGGAGGCCUGACUGUGUCCAGUAUUGACGUUAUUCCCUUUGUGAGUCUGUGGCUGAGGGUGGAUAUGGUAGAUUCUGUAAAACAAUGUAUUGAUCAUCCUGAUGAUAAGAACAGAGCAGGAUAUAAAAGAAGAGGAAAGCCUCUAGACAAGCUACCUAAUUCCUGAAAGAACUUCCAAACAAGUCUUGCAAAUUAGUAACUUUUUACAUGGUAAGGCUUUGUCUUGGCAGUUUUCUGUUCCUUACCCUGCAUAGGUUCAUCACCUAUUUCUUGAACUUCACAGGACAUCAGGCCUUUGGAUCAGCUGUUCACCAAACUAUCUUUGAAAAAUACCUCCAGGGUUUGUGGGAAAGUCUUUCAUUGUCAUUGCAUCAUUUUUCUUCAUUAUUUCUAUCCUGAGAGUCCUUCUGGCUAGUCCUAAUAUAGUUACAUAUUGUAAUUUAUAAAUGUUGUAUUCUAUACAAUACAACUUUAAUAAAUUUCAGACUAUAUGUACAAAGUUUAAUUCAUAUCCAGUCUCAGGAUAAUAGAGUUGGUAUUGAGGCACAGCCACCAACACCAAACUAGUGUAGUUUUAUUUCCUGGGAGCAUUUCACCUACUUAAUGUAAGGUUUUGGGUUUCAGGCACAGUGUUCCCAACUGUGUCCAGUCCUGGGACCCCUGCUGAUCAGACUCUUGUCCCAUGGGUUUGCCCACUCUCCUCAACAAGGCAGGAGUCAGCAGCUUUGUGAAGAGAUCAUCCUUGGCUGCAGCCUCAGCUUGACACCUGCUCUUAUGCUCUAAGCCUCAUGCAUAGGAUGAGGAAAAUGAUGAGGACAAAACCUUGCUGGCAAUUCAAAACCCAGUUCUACAAUAGGGAAGUAAUUGAGCUUUCAUUGAAAGUGAGCACUUGUUGUGUGAAAUGAAGCAUGAAAGAUGUGAAAAGUGUGUCUGAAAAAAAUAUGGGUUUGUCACAGAUCAAGAAACAAAAUACUGCAUCAGACUGAAGAUGAAUUACAGAGAUCAUAAUCUCAUUCACAACUCAAUUUCCUCCGUUUAAAGGCAGGUAAGAUCUACUUUGUUAGCACAUUUUUUUCUUCUAAUUAAAACAUUAUCUAAAUUCAUUUUAUGUUGAGAUUUUGGUGAUGGUUUUCUUGCCAAAAGCUCACCCUGCAAUAACCCUUUUUCCUUUUCAAAGCUUUUGUCUUACUCUGUAUUAGAAUAUUAAUACAUCAAACCCAAGAUUGUCCUUCCAAAGUGAGAGCAUAAUUGUACUCCAUUUUAGUACCAGAACAUCAUUCAGCAACAAUGAAACUAAUUACCAAAAGAACAGUCCACUGUCAGUGUGCCAACUUACUUUUUAAAGUACCAUUAGCUGAAGGUUUGAUACUCCAAACACCCUUCUCUAAAGACAAGCAUCUCUCAAGCUUUUUUAUCACAAGCUAUAUCCAUCUAGAAAAGGCAUGAAACCCUGAACACAACAGAGCAGGACCAUUGGAUUGAUGGUCUAGUCAACGUGUUUCAGUCUUAACACCGAAUUCUCGCAGCAAAAUGUUUGGCAUAAAUCCAGAGUUCAGGAAGAAGGGUGACGUUUUACUGAGAAACUCAAGGAUAGGAAAUGAAGGUUGUCACCCUACCAUUCUCUAAGAAGAAGGAGCAUUGAAACAAAUCAAAUAAAUCAGCAUCACUGAAUUAUUUACUCACAACCAGCCAGGACAUAUUUGGAACAGUGUUGCUUUAGAGGUGAGGUCAAACUCAAUGUUACUGCAGUCUUUGCUGUCAGGUGAGUCAUAUUUCUUUGGACACCAAAUGGUUUGUUUGGUUUUUUUCCACAUGACUAAAGUGCUUGUAUUCCCUUCUUGUCAAUCAACCACAGGGGAUUGUCUGGCAGGUUGCAGAACGCUGAGCGACAACUUCAAGGGGAACACCACUAAUACAGUAGGAGCGACCAUGAAGGGAAAAAAAUUAAACUUCUGCUGAGCCCAUCUCUAAUUCCCUGUUCCCCAGGAAUUAGUGCUCAACCAGGCAUUCAUAAAAGUCAGCUGAAAUCUUACAGCAGGAGUCACAGCUCUACAAUAAAAGUGCUCAUAUCACAAAGCAGAAAAGUGUUGCUGUUAAAUGCCUAUCAAAUAAAAGAAAAAGAUGCUGGAAGAGAACAAAGGGCUUGGAGGGAGAAGGGGGGGGAGAGCAAAACUGAAAAAAACACCAGCACUUCUCUUUUUAUUUUCCUUGAAAGUACCAGCAUGUAACUCUCUCUCAAGGUCUGUAACUGUGCUCUGUGUCACUCCACAGCGCAGUCCAGAGAUUUUCGGGAAGUCCAAGUGUAACUCUGUGCUUUCGUUAAUGUUCUUUAUGUUAUUCUGCUUGGUGAUAUGCCUCCAACAAAGAGGCUGAGAAGGCUGUGAUGCCUCGUGGGCAGGGAUGGCAUGCCUGACAGACUGCAGUCCCACAGAAGGUCCCGCUGGAGCCAGCCAGAUGCCAGACCACAAGCCAGAAGCCAGUUCAGCUAGAUGACUAAUUUUCUGCACUCCACACCACUGCUAAGCUGUUUCUGACACCUCCCCCUCCUUUAUCUCAUGCAACAAAGGCUCUUUUGCAAGGAGGGGCAUUUCCAUUCAAGGGUAGAAAAUCUGUGUAUUCAGUAUUUUGGGGGGAGGAUGAGGGGAAAUAAUUACACACUACCACAGCCAGUUACUCUGGUUUUGUCUGACUGCUUAGUGAACUUCCAAAGGAAAGCACGUAGUCACUAUAGAAACUGCCACAUCAUAUUGUUGUUUAUGUUGCCUCUGAGAUAAGGAAUAUUUUUUAAUAAGACAUUUGUAUUUUUUUUCUGUCUUUAGAAAACAUUCUACAAGAAAUAACUGGGUGCUGUUGUGUGUGGCUGUGUGUGUUUCUCUUUGGUUUUUUUGUUUGGUAGAUUGGCUGGUUGUUUCCUUUUAAUUAUUGUUAUUUCUUCAAGUUUGUUUUUUCACCAUGUAAUAGAAUAAAAUAUA